rnacentral:rRNA from 1 species
GAUGAACGCUGGCGGCGUGCCUAAUACAUGCAAGUCGAGCGAAUGGAUUAAGAGCUUGCUCUUAUGAAGUUAGCGGCGGACGGGUGAGUAACACGUGGGUAACCUACCCAUAAGACUGGGAUAACUCCGGGAAACCGGGGCUAAUACCGGAUAAUAUUUUGAACUGCAUAGUUCGAAAUUGAAAGGCGGCUUCGGCUGUCACUUAUGGAUGGACCCGCGUCGCAUUAGCUAGUUGGUGAGGUAACGGCUCACCAAGGCAACGAUGCGUAGCCGACCUGAGAGGGUGAUCGGCCACACUGGGACUGAGACACGGCCCAGACUC